rnacentral:rRNA from 1 species
AUUGAACGCUGGCGGCAGGCCUAACACAUGCAAGUCGAGCGGAUGAAGGGAGCUUGCUCCUGGCUUCAGCGGCGGACGGGUGAGUAAUGCCUAGGAAUCUGCCUGGUAGUGGGGGAUAACGUCCGGAAACGGGCGCUAAUACCGCAUACGUCCUGAUGGAGAACGUGGGGGAUCUUCGGACCUCACGCUAUCAGAUGAGCCUAGGUCGGAUUAGCUAGUUGGUGGGGUAAAGGCCUACCAAGGCGACGAUCCGUAACUGGUCUGAGAGGAUGAUCAGUCACACUGGAACUGAGACACGGUCCAGACUCCUACGGGAGGCAGCAGUAGGGAAUAUUGGACAAUGGGCGAAAGCCUGAUCCAGCCAUGCCGCGUGUGUGAAGAAGGUCUUCGGAUUGUAAAGCACUUUAAGUUGGGAGGAAGGGCAGUAAGUUAAUACCUGGCUGUUUUGACGUUACCAACAGAAUAAGCACCGGCUAACUUCGUG